GUUCGACGUGGGCCCGCGCUACACGCAGUUGCAGUACAUCGGCGAGGGCGCGUACGGCAUGGUCAGGCCACAGCAGCAGCCUCUCUCCGGUCCCCUCAGCUCGGCCUAUGACCACGUGCGCAAGACUCGCGUGGCCAUCAAGAAGAUCAGCCCCUUCGAACAUCAGACCUACUGCCAGCGCACGCUCCGGGAGAUCCAGAUCCUGCUGCGCUUCCGCCAUGAGAAUGUCAUCGGCAUCCGAGACAUUCUGCGGGCGUCCACCCUGGAAGCCAUGAGGGAUGUCUACAUUGUGCAGGACCUGAUGGAGACUGACCUGUACAAGUUGCUGAAAAGCCAGCAGCUGAGCAAUGACCAUAUCUGCUAUUUCCUCUACCAGAUCCUGCGGGGCCUCAAGUACAUCCACUCCGCCAACGUGCUCCACCGAGAUCUAAAGCCCUCCAACCUGCUCAUCAACACCACCUGCGACCUUAAGAUUUGUGAUUUCGGCCUGGCCCGGAUUGCCGAUCCUGAGCAUGACCACACCGGCUUCCUGACGGAGUAUGUGGCUACGCGCUGGUACCGGGCCCCAGAGAUCAUGCUGAACUCCAAGGUAGGAGGGGCUGCCCACUCCUGAAAGGAACGGACCAGUUCCCAGGAAGCCCUGGAGCUACCUCUGAGCCAGACACUGACCCCCAUGACACAGGAAUUCUACCCUCUGGGCCUUGGGCUCUGCAAGGAAGCUGAGCAUUGAGCCCUCCA
rnacentral:sRNA from 1 species